CUUCUGGGAGUUGUCGUUUUGACGGCGGCGGUGACCCGGCUCCUCCCUUGCACAGGUGAUUGAAAGGUCAGUUAAAAUCAGGUUUAAAAAUUACCGACCAGACAAGAUACACCUGCAAAGACACCUGUGCCCAAUAGCCGUCACUCGCUUCAGAAGCUGCAGGAAACUGGUCUGGCGUGUGAUUGACCGAAGUGCCCUCACAGAGCCCUCAUGGAGCCCUCACAGAGCUGCGCUGAACAGCAACGGAUUUAAAUGUUCAUAGAGCUUCAAGUUAAUAAAACGCAUUAAAUACUUAGAUUAACAUGUUCUAUGAACCAGUAAUGCUAAAUACUAGCACAUCUGAUCACAAAGACGUCACAAAUCCAAGGGUUGCUGAAGUGUCACUUAACUUGAUAUCUUUAAGGUACAGCCUUUUACAAACAGUUCUCCUCAGUUUUCACCUGGAAUACAGUGAUGUGACUCAAGCUGAACCAGCCCAGGUGGUCUUUGAAGUCGGCUCUGAAAGUAAACCUGAUAUAGUUUGGGGUUGGAAUUGUGGGUUUUUGAACAGCUGGAGGUGGUGGAUGGGAGUCAGUUCACGAACUGGGAAGCGACACAUCUCCAAUACCCAGAGCCCACUUCCAGCUAGGGAUAUUCCAUGAUUCCAUGAUACUGAACAACAACCGACUUGCCCACAUUCCUUGCUUUGCCAUGGACACGCUCCAUCUCUUGCCACAGGAUCACCUUUGGAAAAGGGAAGGUCUCUGUCACCCUGUUCAGGGUUGGAAAACCAAAGGUUGCUUUUCAACAUUCGCUGGACGACGUCAAACAAACCAUCUCCCAACAGCUGCUUCGCUUUCCCUGCUUGCAAAUAAGGGAUAACAACACCUCUCCAGUCAAGUCCUUGGAGAGCUUGUGCUAAAAACACCACAGAGGGCCCAGGGUUGUUGUUGGAGAGGCAGGAAUUCCUGAGCCAGGGCAGGAACAGCCAUCAUUUGCAUCCCUCGUAGCUGCUGGGUGUUUUCUGAACCAGCUUCACUCCAUCCUGUCAAAGACACUGCUCCUGGCUGCUCUCCUGGAGGUGCUUCUUCAGCCCAAAGCUGCACAUUAAUGACUUAAUUGCAUGGAAAUUGCUGGAAUCUGUAGCAGGAACUGUGACCCAGGGAUGCUGAAAUCAGGCAUGGAACAACAGAGCCCUCUUACCUCACAAUCUCAAAGUUUUGCUGCCAAGAGGAGAAGGAACUGGAAUGAUCCGUGCUCGGCCAGCAGCUCGACGGCCACGUCGGAGGAGAUUCCAAACACUGGUUGCCUGGUUGGUAUCUUCUCCCAGAUCCACAAGGACACACCUGAAGUUCCCCAGUCUCAGAUGGAUUUGCUGCUCACACAAGACCCAAGUGGGCUCAGAUCCAUCAAGAUCAGGAGCAAUUAACAGCUGUGCAUUGACUGAGACACUUUUAUUUGUCAUUCCUGUUUUAAGUUGUGUUUUUCCUCGGCAGAAAUGUGCUCCCAGUGACCACUGAAGGCAACUGGUCCAGUCAGUGCUGUCCCACAUGGACAGUCCUCUUAAAAAAGCCCAUUAUUUAUUUGAACACAUAAACUGUUUGCAGUUUUACACAGAACAGCUUCUCCUUGUGGUUGCAAAUUGCUCCUGAGAGUUGUGAGCCGGGCUGGAGUUUAUUUGCCACUGGUUAACAAAU